rnacentral:rRNA from 1 species
UACGAAGGGGGCGAGCGUUGUUCGGAAUUACUGGGCGUAAAGGGCGCGUAGGCGGCCGAUCAAAGUCAGAUGUGAAAGUCCUGGGCUUAACCUGGGGACUGCAUUUGAUACUGAUUGGCUUGAAUGCAGGAGAGGAUAGCGGAAUUCCCAGUGUAGAGGUGAAAUUCGUAGAUAUUGGGAAGAACACCUGUGGCGAAAGCGGCGCACUGGACCACAUCGUGACG